UACGUAGGGCGCAAGCGUUGUCCGGAAUUAUUGGGCGUAAAGAGCUCGUAGGCGGCUUGUCACGUCGGAUGUGAAAGCCCGGGGCUUAACUCCGGGUCUGCAUUCGAUACGGGCUAGCUAGAGUGUGGUAGGGGAGACUGGAAUUCCUGGUGUAGCGGUGAAAUGCGCAGAUAUCAGGAGGAACACCGGUGGCGAAGGCGGGUCUCUGGGCCGAUACUGACACUGAGGAGCGAAAGCGUGGGGAGCGAACAGG
rnacentral:rRNA from 1 species